rnacentral:lncRNA from 1 species
AAAAAACAACCGGGGAAGCACGAACAACCUACUAGGAAAGAAAAACUCGCAAACAAUUCAUUAAACCCCCGGAGCCAGAAGCCUCCCCUCCUCUCCUCUCCUCUCUUCGCCGCUCUCGUUGCUUCCUCGCGGGGAGUUCGACUUCGAAACCCCCUCCCCCUCCCCUCCGCUGACUUCGAGGAGGAGGAGAAGGCGAAAGCGAAGGCUCCCGCGCGCCGCGGAGAUGAGCACCGACGCCGCCGCCACCGCCG